rnacentral:lncRNA from 1 species
CUGCCGAGGAAUACGGGAAGAGGACAACACCCAAACUGGCAUGCCUGCGGAUGGCCCCGUGGUGCCAAACUUUGUUGCCAGUUUCCUAAAAAAAAGUGGGGAAGAUUUUUUCAACAAAAUAUCCAACAGCAGUGAUGUAACAGGAGAGUGAAAACGCAGCCAGGAGCCCCCAGUGAUGCAGCAACUAGAUGGAAAAUGGGAUCUGGUGAUGCUGAUGACAUAAUAUCAGACCAACUCAAGAGACAAAAGAUGGAUCCAUAAAAGCAAACGGAAGACUUGCUGUCAGAGCUAACAAGGAUUCCUAAGUGAAGAGAAGAGACUCAAUAACUAACAUUUUUUUUAGAUAUUUCUUGAAAUUGCUUAUUCCUUUUUUUCACCUGUUAAAAUUUUUAUUUAGAUUAACAGUGCAUUGUGUUUACGAUGCCAUAUCUUCUUGCCGUAUUUGAAUAAACUGAAGCCAAUAUUGCUUUUCCCAUUUAAUUGAUUGUCGUCAUUCUUCCCUUGUUAGAUCAGGGGAUUCCAUGUUACACAAUGACAAACUUUGCAUCCAAAGAAAACAAAAUGACUUCAUCUUUACUGUUUAAGUUUUCUAACCAAAUCUUCAGGUUUUAAAUGUUUUUAUAUUCAUUGAUACUAAAUGCAUAGCAUUUUAAUGACCUUUUUCUUUAAACAUUACCGGUUUACUCAAAAAGUGGGUGUUUAGAAUAUGAUUGUAGAUAUGUUUGAAUAAAAAUGAGUCAUUUGUCACAUUUCUUGUGAUUUAUUUUCUGUUCAAAAAAUAAAGAAAUUCUAAUUUGCCACCAUUUUGAAUGUUAUACUAACUAUUUUUGCAAUGUUAAACACAGAAAUGUGAACAAUAAAUCAGGAAACUAU